rnacentral:rRNA from 1 species
UAACACGUGAGCAACUACCUUAGAGAGAGGGAUAGCUUCUGGAAACGGAUGGUAAUACCUCAUAAUGUAACUGUACCGCAUGAUACAGUUACCAAAGAUUUAUCACUCUGAGAUGGGCUCGCGUCUGAUUAGAUAGUUGGUGAGGUAACGGCUCGACCAAGUCGACGAUCAGUAGCCGGACUGAGAGGUUGAACGGCCACAUUGGGACUGAGACACGGCCCAGACUCCUACGGGAGGCAGCAGUGGGGAAUAUUGCACAAUGGGGGAAACCCUGAAUGCAGCGAUGCCGCGUUGGAGGAAGAAGGUUUUCGGAUUGUAAACUCCUGUCUUAAAGGUACGAUAAUGACGGUACUUUAGGAGGAAGCUCCGGCUAACUACGUGCCAGCAGCAGC